UACCAGCACCCCGAGUGGUCGGGACGAUUAUUGGGCCUAAAAGCAUCCGUAGCCGGUUUUACAAGUCCUCCGUUAAAUCCAACUGCUUAACAGAUGGGCCGCGGAGGAUACUAUAAGACUAGGAGGCAGGAGAGGCAAGCGGUACUCAGUGGGUAGGGGUAAAAUCCGUUGAUCCAUUGAAGACCACCAGUGGCGAAGGCGGCUUGCCAGAAUGCGCUCGACGGUGAGGGAUGAAAGCUGGGGGGAGCAAACCGG
rnacentral:rRNA from 1 species